CACGUGGUAAGCCAUGACGUCAGAGGGUUUAUAGGGACUGCUUCAAGUGUUUCAACAAACAUUGUGGGAGAGAACGCUUGGAUUAACACAUAACUAAAGGCUUUAAAUCUAAAUCUGUGAAAACAUGAGCACUGAUCAACCACAAAACCUUCUGUUAGGGCUGCAGCCUGACUAUGUGAACACAUCACCUGCAGACCAGUUCACAUGUGGGGCUUUGCGUUAUCUCUCAGUCAGACCGUGCAUUUGGUGCUUACGAAAAAAAUCCAUGGACACGGCCAUAGAAUUCAAAGAUGUUCCUAUGGAAUGUUAAAGCUCUCCAAGUUACACCAACAAAGACACCCACUGAGGACAUAAAGCAAAGAUGAGGAUCAAUACAAGAGCACAACAGAACACACUACAUCUCUGGACUGGGGGAGGAAACUGGAGUACCCAGAGAAAACCUCUGAAGCAUGAAAGAACAUGCAAAGUCCACAUCCACAGGGCAGAGGCAGAAUUCCAAACACUUAAUGAUGAUGAUGCUCUUGAUGAUUGUUAUUGUUAUUGUUAUUGUUAUUAUUAUGCUCACACAUAUGCAACUGUAAAUUUAUUUAAUAAGAAAGCUAAGACUCAAGUUCUUCAGAAAUGCACCACUGACCUCACAUUUCCAAAUCUACAACAUGACCUGCCCACUAAAAGCUCAGCACACACCCAUACUUGUCAUUAUAUUUAUUAUCAGCACUAUGCAAUGAAUUGCGUCAAUCAGUUGCAGUGCACAUUCAUUACCUAAUUUGGGUUCUGAAUAAUGAUUGCGAAUGUUCCUGGUCAUACCAGAACUGAAUGAGAUAUUUUAAACAAUCAUAUUGUAUGCUGUAAAGCUGUAUCAGCUUUCAAAUGAUCGUGUCUAUGUUGUUUGUAGUGCUUGUACCAAUGUAAUGACAUGCAAUAUAUAUUUGUGAUUUCUACAUGCAUUUCUUCUAUUUCUGUUCCAGUGAAAUAGCUUACUAUUUACACCCACUAUGCUAUUGCUGAGAAGUGGCGAACUUGUUGGAAUGUUUCUACAUUGCUUUAUUCUGUUUACAAAGCUGAUUCAUUUGCUGCCUAAUGAAAGAACACAUUCAUUUCUAUUAAAAAACACAAGAAAGAAAAGGUUUUCGAGCCAUCUCACCAUGAGAUGGCAACCUUGUCACACUGUGAAGUUAUUGUGUUGCAUUUGAGGGGUACAUUAAAGUGCCAUUUCAAUAUCUUUCAUCAUAUAAAAUAAAUGAUGGAACAGUGUCAAGCCCACGCUUUCUACACUCAUCCAAACGCGCGGCUAGAGCGCAGUUAAUGUGAUAAUUAGCUGUUAACAAUAUUAAAUGUAUUAGAGCAGGGAAAUCCCCUGGACUCUAAACUCAAAUUCUAAACUCAGGACUAGAGAUGAUCAAGAUUGAAUUCUUGCUCCCAAGCCAACCUUCACUUACAUUGCCAUUGUUCUAAGUGAAAUAAGAACAUGACUCAUUCUUUCCUACUCUAACUUCAUUCAAAUAAUCCAGCACAUAUAAAAGCCAAAGCACUUUUAUUAUAAUACAAUUUUUAAUAGGUUAUUGGAAAUCUGAUUUACAUUAUGCCUGUUAACAGUGGAGCUUCCUAAUUUUCCUCAGCUACCUUAAAGCUUAAUUGCAAUUGCAAAUAAAUCACUGACAAGAUUUCCUUCUCCCCCACCGACGAACCUCCACCCCUGUGAGCUAUCUAUUCCUAAGAAAAAUGGCAUUCUGUUCUAGCUGCAUACUGAGCGGUUGAGUGUUUCCGUUCAUUAAAAAGGCGCAACAUACAUUAUACAGUAUACAUAACAACAUACAGUAUAAAAACAGUAGCUUUUCAAGAUGCAAUCCAAAAGUCUUAAGCUCGUCUUAUUGACAAUUUGAACUGCUUUUAC